GAAGAAUAAAAUCGCCUUAGCUAAUAGAGCGGCAUGCUAUUAUGUACCUGAAGGUUUAACUGCUAUAUUAGCCUGAAAGAAUCAUUUGAAGGGGCGGAAGGAGUUCGCUUUUCCCUGGGCUACAUCAGUGAAUUCAAUUUCUAUUGAAGAGAGACUAGCAUUUUAAAAACCACUGUGUGUGGAGCUUCGAGUCCUUUUCUUCUUUCGCAUCCUUAAGAUGAGCAGAUUUUUCCUGCCACAUACCCACUUUAAGGAGUUAUCUUGCUACAGACCUCAAAGCAACAGGGAAAAAUAUUCACAGAAUGGACAUUUCAAAACGGUCUGUUACAUUUCCCAGAAUGGUUCGCAGCACUGGAGAUAAUUCCUUUUCGAAGAACCUACAUUUCUCACCUGCUGAUUGCAAUUAGCCACUGCCAGCUGGGGCCUGGUGUGCAGCUGAAAACCUAACAAGAAGUGGGGACCACGCAGAACCCAGAUAGGGCAUAGGAGGUGCAUAAAUAAGAAAUGGUGCCCUUGUUUACGAGAUGCUUCUGUGAAUUCAGGGCUUGCCAACCCUUUGCACAGCCCUCCCUUUUCAAGCUCUGGGCUGCCCAUCCCUAUUCUAUUCUUCUUCUUCUUCUUCUUUUUUUAAUCUCUCAGUUUGUAGCCUACACUUAACAUUACAGUCACGAAUUUACUACUAAGUACAUUUUGUUAGGUAAUAAACAGCCUUGCAAGAAAAAAAAUGAAA